UCGCGGGAAUUUGAUUUCCCGGGACUCCUCCCUUGAGGACGAAGGCUCAUGCGCGGCGAUCUCAGCUCCUCCCUUGCGUGGGGAGGGAUCUGCAAGGAGAAUCUUAGGGCUGGACGGAGACUAUAAAAAUCUAGACUGUCCCAACCUCGCUGCGCCGCCUUCAGGUUUGCCGGGUGCUUUCCCAGCCGCUACCCCGAGAGUGCCCAUCCGACACAUGGGUAAACUGAGGCCCAGGAGUCAGAGGAGAGGCCUGCGUAAGAACGGAUGGCCGAAUUACCGCUGCCGUUUCCUGGGCACCCUCGGGGCUGAGGAGCGCCCUGCACGCGCUCCCGAUCAUCCUGCGAAGGCAAUGACUGUCACGCCUGUUACACAUAGGUGGAAAGUGACCCUUUGCACUCAUUUCACCACCCUGCCUCCCUCUGACCCUUUGCACUCCAGCAUCCUGGCUCCUAAGGAGUCUCAUCGCUCGGGCCCUCCCGAUGCUGACCCGUGUUCUAAGGGUUCUCGCGGCUGUGACCCUGUACAAGUCUUGUGAUCAUGCAGCCAAACAGGAUUGUUCAAUGAGUGAGGAGGAAUGAGAAGAUGAUGGAGAAGUUCAGGGCAGUCCCAGGAUUCCUGCAUCAAUUUGGGUUCAGGAAGCUCUCCCAGGAGCACAGCAGGUGAGCUCCUCUGGCCCUAACCCGGCCCUGCUCCUUCCCCUUGUGGAAGUCUCCCAGCAUCAGCUUCACAACAGAGAUCUCUGCCCAUGUGGUCCUGGGGUCUCUGUGUCCUCUAUCCGCUACCCAAGUCUCUCUGGCUUCCACAAAUAAAUAAUA